rnacentral:rRNA from 1 species
GACGAACGCUGGCGGCGUGCUUAACACAUGCAAGUCGAGCGGUAAGGCCCUUUCGGGGGUACACGAGCGGCGAACGGGUGAGUAACACGUGGGUGACCUGCCCUCAGCUCUGGGAUAAGCCUGGGAAACUGGGUCUAAUACCGGAUAUGACUCCAUGACGCAUGUUGUGGGGUGGAAAGCCUUGUGCGGCUGAGGAUGGGCCCGCGGCCUAUCAGCUUGUUGGUGGGGUGAUGGCCUACCAAGGCGACGACGGGUAGCCGGCCUGAGAGGGCGACCGGCCGCACUGGGACUGAGACACGGCCCAGACUCCUACGGGAGGCAGCAGUGGGGAAUCUUGCGCAAUGGGCGAAAGCCUGACGCAGCGACGCCGCGUGAGGGAUGACGGCC